AGCAGCAGCAGUUGUGGUAGCAGUAGCAACAGUGCGAUAGAUGCACGGACUCAUAAGGUGAAACACGAAACUGGAGCAGUUCAGUUCGCUGAAGGCAGGCGUCGCUGAAGGUAGUACAGAAUACUGGAUACUGGACACAGGAGACAUUGGAGUCAGAAACUGAACGGGAAAAUUUGUGUUCAUGAUUUUUAAAGCGACUUACCGUCGGGGCUGACUAAAAACAUGGUCCAGAACAAAUCCAAAAAAAUCCUUUACCAAAAUAGAAAAGUGAAAGUGAGUGCGCGUCGCGAAAAAAACACUCGACAGAAUCGAACAAUCGGAGCUGAAGUGAAAUGCGACCAAACUAAGCCAAAUUAAAUAAAAGUUAAUUGAGAGAGGUGGGCAAAAACAAUUAAAAGCGUUAAAUUACAUUUAGCUGAAGGACGAAGGACAACCGAUAGCAGGACCGCCACAUCGUUUUGUGUCACGGUGCAUUUGCACAUAAUUGCAAACUGUUGCGUGGCCUGCAGUUUCACUUUUUAUUGCCAGGCUAUAAAAUAAAAAUCCAUUUGCCUGAAACCCUUAUUUUCGACCCACCACACAGACAGACACUCAGCUACACUCUACACUCUCAGCUGUUGCAUACUUGAAACACGAAACCAUAUAGAGAAUAGGGUCCUGGAUACAGGACACCAUUCAGAGACUGCAGUCGGAAGCCCACAGAACAUAACCAUUUAUUUUACGAUCUCAGCCUUGGACAUGCCCCAUUAAAUAUGCCUUUCAAUGUUUUGUUCAAGUUGAAACGGAAGACGAAAAACGUAAAGUGUACAACCAAGCCUUAUGCCAAAGUAAAUUUCACAAAAAUAUUCUCCCAAAAAGACAACCAAAAAUAUAUGCAUAUAGAAACGGAAGCAUCUAAGGAUAGAAGAAUCAACUUUCAGGGAAAUUUGCAUCCGAUUUUUUUGAUACAGGAGUGUCAUAUUAUGGAGUCAUAAAAGUUGAGGAGCACUAUUGGACCAGUCGCAGCAUUAGAGAACGUGCCAGGCAUGCCAACAGCCAAAAUGAGCAUGAUGUAGUAGACAAGGACUCUUCCAGCCAGUCAGCCACCUAACCAGUUAGCAAGGACAUUUUGCCUCUUGUGUUGAUGAUGCGACAUUGACAUCGACCUGUAUGUGUUGACGAGCCGUGAUAAGCAAACUGGAGCUGGGAAUAAGGACCAAGGACCCCACACAAAUUUAACUAAUCUGGCAAGAACGUAACGAAUUGCGUAUACAAAUCCCGACUAGCGAGUUUCCAAGUGAUUAAUUCCGGCAACAAAACAACAGGGCUUGAGCCAAUUACGAGCCAGCGAUAAGGCGGAAUCGAAACGGAGCACCGCCAGAUGCCGCCAUGAGUUUCCUCAGCUCCAUGCAGCAGUAUGUCACGAGUGGCAUCUCCAGUUUGGGCCUCGGCAACCGCCGAUUCUCCCUCUCCCGCCAGGAGUCUACCGAACAACAAUCUGGCUCUUCCACCAGCGGCCCUGCUUCCUCCAUACAGCAACAGCAACAGUCGGGGUUUCCGCAGCAACAUCCGCAAGUAUUACAGACGCAGCUGUCGCAGCAACAGUUGCUGCAUCAGCAGCAGCAAGUAUCGAACGUCCAUGCACCCUUGCAGCAACAGGCGAGCAUUGGCAGCGGCCUAGGCGUUUAUGGGGCGCCCGCCGCACCCACUGGAGGCGUGGCAGCGGCAGCUACCGGCAGUAAUUAUCCUUCAGGUGGCGUGGUAAUCGGCAAUCCGAAUGCCACCAAUCCAUUACUGGGUUACCCGAAAAUACCGGGUGGCAAUCCCGUCACCGUCGGCGGCAGUCCGACUACUUCCGGUUCCGGCGGAGGUGGAGGCGGCACGCCCCAAUCCCGCCGCCAGUCGAGGGCCCUUGAGUGCCUGGCGCCCCCCCGCACCGGAUCCUUCAGGCAGCGAAACUCGCCACUGCACCAGCCGGACCCGCCACCCCGCCCCCCGCUGGCUUUCUGCAAGCGCCGGCUGAGCUGGCCAGAGGUUGACCCACGCUCCAAUUCAGGAGUUCAGGAAACGGAUGGCUCGUAUUUUGAGAAUUUUACAUCGCUCGGCUGGAAACGUGAAAAUCGUCGCAUGUCGGCCACGCGUGCCGCCGAAGCACGUGCCGAGGCUAAUCCCGAGAAUGAACGUGAUCCGCCGGCUACGGAGGAGUCCAUUGACCGCCAGGACGAGAAGGAGAAGCUCUACGUCGAGGUCCUGCACACCAUUGCCAAUACGGUGGGAGCACCUGCACCCGGCGGACAGUUCGCCCAUUACAAGGACGAAAUGUAUCUGCACGCCCAGCGCGCCUUCGGUGUCAAUCCGGAUCGUCAUUAUCGACUCCUGCACGCCUCCGCCGAGGAUAAACCAAAGAUAAUCGUCCUCUCUGCGGUGGUAAUCGAAGCUGAUGGCCUCGAGGCAAAGGAUGCCAAUGGUUUCUCGGAUCCGUACUGCAUGCUGGGCAUCCAGCCGGAUGGAGACGCUUGUCCGCCCGUGUCGCCGCUGCCGCUGCCGCCGACGCCACGAGCCCUCUCGGCGGACAUGAGUGGAGGCUUCGACAACAGCGCCACGGACUCGCCCCCACACCGCAAGCACAGCUUCCGGCUGAGUUUCAAGCGGCGGGACGGGGGAGCGGGUCGGCGGGAGCAGCGCGACUCACUGGGCGGACCGGUGCCGGCCAAGCUGAUCAAGGCGACCUCCAUCAAGCCUCACACCCUCACCCCAAAAUGGAACGAGAAGUUUAAGUUCGACAUAGAUGACAUAAAUACGGAUACCUUUCAUCUGGACAUUUGGGACCACGACGACGAAAGCUGCGUCAUGGACGCUGUGUCGCGACUGAACGAAGUCCGUGGCGUUCGCGGACUGGGACGCUUCUUUAAACAGGUUUGCCAGUCUGCCCGCCAGGGAUCCCAGGACGAUUUCCUCGGCUCGGUGAACAUACCACUUGCCGAGAUACCCUCCACCGGCCUGGAUGCCUGGUUCAAGUUGGAGGCCCGAAGUCAACGGAGCACCGUACAGGGCAGAAUACGACUCAAGCUGUGGCUCUCCACGCGAGAGGAUCGAGGCAAUGUCGGUGACGAGAACCAUGAGAUGCAGAUCCAUAAGAUUGAGCAACUCCAGAAGGUCUUUAUGCAGCACGAGGUGACCACUCAUGAGCCCUCGUGGACCUGGUGCGGAGACCUACCAGGUCCGGCUCUGACCAUACUCCAUCAAUUGGCCGUACAGGCGGAUCUCUCGGAUUUGCAUUGUGCCAUGGCAAGGUAUGUGGCUGCUGCAAAGCUGAACCGAUCCACUCCUUUGGACCCGAAAUUCCUUCACCGGUUGCUUAGCGACGUGGAGAAGCAGUGGAAUCUGCCCAACCAGGAGCCCCUGAGUCGGGAUCUAGAGCAGUGGCUGGCGGAUGCUAUGAACGGGUUCGUAGAGCGCUCCCUGAACCAAAUACGACGGCACAGGGACAUAUUUCCGGCUCUGAAUCCGCCUUCGCUAAUUCGCCUGGAAUUUCUUCUCCGUUGCCUGGGUUUGCUCGGAUCGAUGCGAGCAUUCCGGGCCGUGUGCCCUUUCAACAAGGGCGUACGGGGCGAGGUGGUGAAUGCUCUGCGCAAAGGGUCAGUGAUGUGGGGCCAAGCGGUGCUCCGGGAGUCGCAGAGCUUGCCCAAUCCAUUAUCGAAUUUUGUAACGACAUUAACGGCCGACAUACAGCUGGGACAGACCUACUACCAUGCCCUUUUCGACAAUACGAAUGGCAUUCAGUACUUUAGCAUCAUCUACAAGCAGUACGACGCCAUGGUGGGUGACGAGUUGUACACCAGGAUGGCCGCCGGCCAAGUGCCCGGGGUGCGGAUGAACCUCUCACAGUACGCCGUGCUCGAGGGUGAUGCCGAGCCGGUGGACACAAAGCCCUUUGAACUGUUUCUUGCCCUACAGGAGUUCUGCCAGCUGAAACGGCACCUCUCCGCCCAGCCGCAGCCCCCUGAAAAGCCUCUGGCUCUGAGCAACAGCCACGAAUGGUUCAUACCCACCCUAGAACGCUGGAUGAUGGUCAGUAAGGCGAAGGCGCUGCAGAGGAUUCGGGCAGCCAUACGUAUGGACGCCAUAUGCGAGGGCGAACGGAUAGUGCGGUACAGUAGCUCCUCCGUGGACACGGCCAGCACCCUGUUGAACAUUAAGGAGUUCUGGAAGGUUAUGAACUGGCCUGACGAGGACACAGCAAUCAUGCUGGAGUCGCAGCUGAUCGACGUGGUCUGCUCGGCGGCAAUGCACUACUGCGACCUGAUCCACACUGCCCUGGCGGACAGUGGCUAUUACGAGCAGCAAGGUCCCUUCCGCUGCUCCGAUGACAUGUGCGUCACUGUUAACAAUGUGGAGUACGUGCGUCGCACCUUGGCGGAGUUCCGCUCCGACGAGCAGCCCCUCGAGGAGUCCGCCGACAAUCUGCUAGAGUCCAGUCUCACCCACAUGGAAAACCGCUGCGAGCGCAUACUCUCCAAGCUGGCACCUCUCAUGCAGAUGUCGCUACAGAAGGCUAUGUUUCAUUUGGCCUGGUCCCCGGAUUCCCUACCCGCCAAUCAGGCCAUAGUUCCCCUGCUGGAGUACCUGGAUUGUCACUUGGCCGCUCUCAACAGUGCCAUGCUUACCAAGAACUUUAAUAGGUCGCUACGCUUCAUCUGGAAAACCGUGCUGGGUGAGAUGUCGCGGCAAAUGGAGACCGGCGACGAGACGGACAAGCCCACACACUUUCAUAAGAGGCUAUAUGAGGCUCUUCAGCUACUAGUGGACUUCUUUCACGCCGAGGGCCAGGGCCUGCUUCUAGAGUGCCUCCACACAGAGGACUUCUGGCGCAUCGAGCAGCGUCUGCAGUUCCACAAAACGGACACUGACCGGCUCAUCGACAUGUUUUACAUGCAGCGCCUUCGGGAGCAGAUGAUGGCCGUUAGUCCGGGACCCUACGGAUCGCUGGCUGUGCGGGCCUACUUCAAUCACGAUUCGCUCUGUGUGGAGGUUCUCCACGCCAGGGAUGUGGUGCCCCUGGAUCCAAAUGGUUUCAGUGAUCCAUUUGUAGUCAUAGAACUGCUUCCCAGAAGGAUUUUUCUGCACUGCAUGGAGCAGCAAACAAAUGUGCACAAGCGCACUUUGCAUCCCAUAUUCGAUGAAUGCUUUGAGUUUUCCGUGACCUUGGAGCAGUGUCUUACCGAAGGUGCCAUGAUCUGCUUCACGGUGAUGGAUCACGAUGUGCUGACGGCUAAUGACUUUGGUGGGGAAGCCUUCCUGGCCCUGGGAAACAUACCCGGAGUGGCUGACUACAGCACCAGUGUAGAUAAUUUCCACGGGCUGAAGCAGAUCGAGCUGCCCCUCAUGCAGCAGUUGGAUAAAAACAAUCCCAUUUUGCAAAUCCUCGAGGUCCGAAUCAACGACAAGCAGGCCCAGGACUUUGUGCGCAAACAGAAGGCGCGUCUUAUCAAUUGAUUUUUAAAAGGAUUUACAUAUAAUCCCGAACAUGCAUGAAAGGAAGAAAAAGGAACCGUUUGUAAAACGUUUUGGAUGGGAUCGAGCAAUGUAAUUGCAUCGACAUGACUUGAUAAAUUUACCAAAAGAUAAAUGUUGUAUCCUAAAACAAGCAUUCGAAAUCGAAAUUCAAAUGGUGCAAAAAAGUGACAAGUAACGACAAAAAUUGGACUCUUAAACACUUAAAGUUGCUUGAACCGAAUUACGGAUACAUUUUAGGGAUUUAUUAGAAGCCUAGCAUUGCUGAAAUUGUCACAAUUGGGCAAUCAAAGUCGUUUAAAACCGAAAUUAGCCAUCAAAAUCACAUAAGACAAAACACGAACAAAAAACUCAAGCUACCUAACAGAUGCGUUUUGAAGACUUUUACAAGAAACACUCAUCCUGGGAUUAACACAUCUCGGACAUACACAAAACACAUUUUUUGGGUCAAUUUAAGAAUAUAUAUAUUGAAAAAUAUGAAAGUGUAUAUCUAAAGCACCUUUUUUACUACAGCCAAAAAACAAUCAAAAUCUUGCGAAACUCCGAGCUUCUUUGACAAAAUCCCGCAGAAAAUACGAGACACUGACAACCAAACAUAAUCACAUCCAGACAUGCAGAUUAUUGCUAUUUACAAUAUGAGAUAUAUAGAAUAUAUAUGUGUACAAUUUAUAUCACGCCCAAAGGACAGUGUAACUAAGUCUAAAGUAUAUUUGUAAACUAUUUUCUGAGCACAGAUUUUGUAUAAAUUUAUUAGACACGCGCUUGUCCCCCCAGAGAGGCAGCCUUCGGAUCUUUCGCUUAUACACGACUUAGGGCUUUACCCCACGUCUUAGCCUCUGACACCCCUCCCUUAACCACUUUUGUUCGAACUUUCGUUAGUUUCUUUCCCAACCCACAAGAAGGUCUUGCUUCUAAUGUAAAUUUUGUACUAUAUACAAUGGUCUCUUUAAUGAAGGAGCUCCAACCGACUA